GAUGAACGCUAGCUACAGGCUUAACACAUGCAAGUCGCAGGGUAACAUGAGGAAAGCUUGCUUUCCUUGAUGACGACUGGCGCACGGGUGAGUAACGCGUAUCCAACCUUCCCAUAACUACGGGAUAACCCGUUGAAAGACGGCCUAAUACCGUAUGAUAUCGUUUGCUGACAUCAAAUAACGAUUAAAGGUUUAGCGGUUAUGGAUGGGGAUGCGUCUGAUUAGCUUGUUGGCGGGGUAACGGCCCACCAAGGCGACGAUCAGUAGGGGUUCUGAGAGGAAGGUCCCCUACAUUGGAACUGAGACACGGACCAAACUCCUACGGGAGGCAGCAGUGAGGAAUAUUGGUCAAUGGGCGAGAGCCUGAACCAGCCAAGUAGCGUGCAGGAUGACGGCCCUAUGGGUUGUAAACUGCUUUUAUGUGGGGAUAAAGUGCGUGACGUGUCAUGCAUUGCAGGUACCAAAUGAAUAAGGACCGGCUAAUUCCGUG
rnacentral:rRNA from 1 species